rnacentral:misc_RNA from 1 species
GCCACGGGGAUGCAAGUUGUCCAAUUUUUUUCGCAUUACAACUAGUAGCCCGUGAAUCGUCAAAACGGAUUGUGCUUGAUUCUCUUUAGCAUAUCAAGUGACUUUAUACCAACGAUUGAGAAAAGUUUUGUAAGAAAUAGCUUUAUUCCCAGCCCUGCUUUGCCUUUUCUGGUGGCCUAAGUGUUGUUUUGAGUUUUUUUGUUGACAAGUGUUGGCGGCCAUAUUGCUGGCUUCCCACUCUUCAGUAGACGCCCAGAGCAUAUACAACACAGCAGCGGGGGCGGUGUGCCAACCACUCAUACACCAAGAAAAAAAAAGAAGCCGAAGAAAGAUCAAGAACAGUUUUGCUUCAUUGAUUGGAUCCACAAGUUGAAUGCAACAACGAAUCUCUCAGGAUUAGUUUCGUUUUUUGGCCUUAACUUUGUUCAUCAACUUCUUGUUUGUGCCUCAACAGCUUGUGUUGUUUUUUUUCUAUCCUGCUUCCCCAGACAGCCUCCAGUUUGACAUUUUGCACAUUGGCUAACAGUUUAGAUCUCGCGUUGUGAUUUGUCAUUGCUUUUUGGCCGUGUCCCAGACUUUUUGUCUGUUGAGGAAUCUGUUUCCACUGUGUUACACUUGUCAAUGUGUCAUUACAUGCUAUGGGUGCAGCCAUAGUGCCUAGUGGAUGAGUGAUAUCUCGAUGAAAGUAUGGAUAACACGCUGACCAGUUUGGAAGAGAGGUUGAACGAGCCGAACUGGUCCGGAUUCCAAGGAGGUGCGCCACAGCUGCAGUGGAUCCCUGCUCCGUCGCAAUACGGCACGUCGUCAAUCAACGGCGGCCUGAUUGGCGGCAGUAGUAACAACAGUAGUAAUAACGCCAGCCAUUCCAAUCCGCCGUCGCGGGUGGUGGUUAUCAACCGAGACGAUAGAGGGUUCGGUUUCGUCGUGGCCGGUGACAAUCCCGUCUUCGUUCAAACCGUUCGUGAAGGCGGAGCCGCUGAGCGAGCCGGCAUUUUUAAGGAUGAUAUUAUUAUCAAGGUUAACGGAUCGUGGGUGACCCAGUCGAACCACGCCGAGGUCGUCGAUUUGAUUAGAGCGGGUGGAUCGAGUGUUGCUCUCACUGUGAUAUCGCCCGUCUACGGAUCAAGCAACGGGUCCGGCGUCCCGACUCACUACAACUCGCCGUACGCUAUGCCUUCACUUCAUCCGUCGUCAAGUCCGUCGGGUUCGCAGGCACCUCCGCCUCCGCCACCACCUCCCAUCAUGACGACAACUCCGACGUCAAGAGGAUUGCAUCAUCAGCCUUCGAUGCGCGGCGGAAUCACUAGUCCACAGCCUGUCGGGCACGAACAACAGCGCGUCGUCGAGUUGGAGCGUCUCAACACGUUCAAGUUGAUGCUGGAGAAGGAAGCCCAGUUUGUGGAGACGAAGAGAGGUGAUUUGGCGCGCGGAUACAACCCUGCCGUAGCCAUCGAGUUGGCCAGCGCUGAAAAGCGCGUCCGAGAGCUUCAACAGAAAUACAACCAUAUGGCAAACCGACUUGGACUGCCCACCUCGGAAAGUCAACCGCUACUGUUGUCGUCGGCUCAACGCUCUCCGUCGCCGGCCCACCGUCCCCAAUCGGCUCAUUAUCCGGGUGGAGUAUCUGUAGGACGUUCUGGCAGUAGUGGCAGUGGAAGUCGGAUAUCCCAGCGACCACCUGGUGCCGUUGAAGGUGGCGGUUGGGACAAUUUAGGAUGCGACGUCCCUCCGCCAUUGCCAGCCCGUAAUCGCUCAUUGGUCUCGCACAAUUCAUCCCCGUUGAUCCUGUCCCCCAGUCCUGCUCCAACUCCUGGCGAGACACCCUCGUCACCGCCGCCCCCACUUCCACCCCGCAAUCCUUCCACGGCCUCGUCUUCCUCUUGUUCUUCCUCCUCUUCGUCAUCCUCCACAGCCAUGCCGGACUUAGUCCCGUCGGUAAACGGAGCCAGUAAUCAGGAUCAACAUCGAAUUCUGCUGCGCGAUUCGCCCACUAACCAACCUCCUUCGUCCAGCGCCGGCCGACCGAGUACAAGCCCGUUGCCUUCACAUCACCGCACAAAGUCAAGCCCGUUUCCUUUUCCAGUCCAGCCUGUUGCUGCCAGCGCGCCAGACACCCGUCGUUUCAGUUCAUCCGAUUCCAUUAGUGAGUUGGAUUUAUCGACCAGACGUGGUGGUGGUGUCAGUGGCAAAGACACGGAUUCCCCCACACACGGCACUCCUCCCGGCACACCUCCGCCGCCUUACAGGCGACCCGUCAGUCCUUUGGCCGAAGAUGGGAAUGGCAGUGAGACGGCGGCGACAGGCUCGUUUCCAGCUGCUCGUCAAGCGGCCUCGCCUUCCGGAGUCGUUUAUGCCGGACAAGAAACCCAGUUAAAUAUUCUGUCGAUGGAAGAGGAUGAAUUUUCUGAUCACGAAUCGGUCAAGGGACAGAUUGACGAUCACGGAGUAUUCAAAACCUUAGCAAAACUAUGGCAGCACAAUGCACACUUGGCCGUCUUCAUGAAUUUUGUCAUGUCUAACUGCGAUCCAGCCAGUUUGUUCUUCCAUUUGAUAACGGAUCUGUACAAAGAGGGCACUGCCAAGGAUAUGAAGAAGUGGGCUUAUGAGAUUCAUUCAACUUACCUCGUUCCUAAUGCGCCUUUGAAAUUAAACAAUGUCGACGAGCACGUCUUGCACGAAAUUGAUGACGCCUUACAAGUGGACAUUGACAAGGAGGAGAUCCUGAGAAAGGUGUUUUUGAAAGCGAGAUCGAAAGCCAAGGAGGAAUUGAAACGGCAUUUAGCCGAGUUUCUAAGUAAACGGACCGUCGGCUUGGCAACCAUAUUUGGUCCGAGCGACGCCGUUCUAGACGAGACGAUCCACGACAAGGCAAAAGAGGUUAAGAUCGUAGAGAGCCUCCUCCUACCUCGGCUAGAGUUGUUGGCGGAGGAUUUGGAGAAUUCCAAUGAUCGAAACCAGGCCAUUGCCUCUUCGUUGGCCACAGUUUUGCAAAAAAACUUUAAUGUCAAGGGGCCACAAGCAACCAGUCAGAUCGAGCGUUGUCCCACAUUUGUGGCAAAGGAAAAAUCAAUCAAGCCCAAAUUCCUCAGUAAAAACAAGAAGCAACUGACUGCCAAGGGCCAUCACUUUGUGGCCCACCAGUAUUUCAGCGUGACACUCUGCAAUCACUGUGGCAACGUCUUGUGGGGCACCAGUCCCCAGGGAUACCAAUGCACAAAUUGCGAGAUGAACAUCCACAAAGGAUGCGUCAAGGUAAUCGAGGAGAGCUGUAUCGGGGCUCUACAUCGCAAGGAUCGUGGUAACGAUCGCAUCAGCAAGAUUGUCGAUCGCUUUCGUCCUGAAAGGGAACUAAAGAGAAAGUUGACCACCCAAGGAUUCGGCGAUAAAAAUUUACGCCGCGCCGACGACUCCCUAGAAGCGUCUGCUACCGGAUCGCUGGAUUCUGAAUCGUCAACAGCAGGUGACAAGCAGAGCGGAUUGGGAUCUAACGGCCGAUCGUUCAAUGACGGCUCGAGAGAUGGAGCACGUGAUCGACGUUCGGGAACUGGAUCGGGAUCCGAUUCGUUUGGAGAGGCUGACAGACGGGCCGGUUACACACCACCGUACGAAGAGGAGCUCGACAGUUCCGGCGCAUCCAACUUCAGUAAAAAGAAAGUCAGCCGUUCGGAGAGUCUGCGUGAACGGGCGCAGAGGAAACAUCGGGAAAAGCGGAAACAUAGCGACCCGAAUCUUCCACCAUCCCAUUCCAGUGACAUGGAUCGAGAAGACCGGAGCCUAUCCAACAACAACUCUGGCAGUUCGUCCAAUUCGAGUCUCUCCACAAGUUUGGAGAGUCCCAGUCCAUCCGACAUCCGCAUUUCGGGUUCCGCCUUAUCAGAUGGAUCGUCAGGGGUAUCUGCCGCCUUGUCCGUGGCCUCAUGCAACGCCGGCGGAUUGCUCACGCCCUGGGACAGUGACCUCGAAGCGGAUCCUGAUCCGCCGGAUUGGACGCGCAAUUUGGAUCCUGACGUUGUAGACAAGAUGACGCCCAAAGAGAAACAACGGCAGGAAGUCGUCAAUGAGCUCUUCCAUACCGAACGGAGUCACGUUCGUAACCUAAAGGUCCUGGACCGGGUGUUCUACCGCCCGCUACUCGACAACGGCUUCAGCGAUCUUGUUAAUCUGCUCUUCCCCAAUUUGCCCGACAUGUUGGAAAUCCACGGACGUUUCAACACACUCAUGAAAGCCCGCAAAAGAGACCAGCCGGCCGUUGAAACUGUUGGCGAUAUCCUGGUUGCCAUGUUUGACGGACCCAAUGGCGAAGCGUUCCAGCAAGCUGCCGCCACCUUCUGCAAGUACCAGUCAGUUGCUUUGGAGAGUUUAAGGGACAGACGCAAGAAAGACUCUAAACUCCAGGCAUUUUUGGCUGAAGCCGAAGGCAAUCCCGUUUGUCGGCGACUUCAGUUGAAAGAUAUCAUCCCGACAGCCAUGCAGCGGUUAACUAAAUAUCCGCUCUUGCUGGAAAGCCUGGCCAAGUACACGCAGCCGCGCAGUGAAGAAAUGACGUUGGUGCGCAGGUGUUUGGAACGGUCUCGCGAAAUCCUCAAUAAAGUCAACCAAGCCAUUAAGGAGGCUGAAAACUACAACCGGCUGGUGGAUAUCCAACGUCGACUGGACAAGUCGGCGUUUGAGAAAUCCGACCACGCCAUAGCUAAUGAACUCAAGGGUUUCUUGGUAUUUCAGAACUUUGAGUUGACAAAGCACCGUCUGAUCUACGAGGGCGCCCUGACGUGGAGGACAAAAGGACAGAAGAAUGUCGAUCUUCACGUCGUCCUCCUGGAGGAGUACAUCCUCUUGCUCCAGAAGCAAGACGACAAGUACGUGCUGAAAUUCCACAGCAUCAACUACCUGAACUCCAAGGAGGAAUCCAAGUGUACACACAGUCCUAUCAUCAAAAUCGCUACAGUUCUCGUUCGGCCGGUGGCUACAGACAAACUUGCUCUGUAUUUGGUCAACACGUCGCCGACAGGAGCUCAGAUUUACGAUCUUGUGGCAGUCUCCAUCGCCGAGAGAAAAGCAUGGUUUCGCCACAUCACUGACGCCACGGAAGCGUACAAAGCACGAGAAGGUCGCAACAGGCGACCGGAUGGAAGCGGGAGUGGCUCUUCCCCGUCGAUGGGAAGCGCCACCCCCAGCCUCAGUUCCUCUUCCAGUUCCGCUCAACUUUUACCGCCACUGCCACAGGCCGCCGAUUCAUCGGAAAAAACCAGUGAGGAGCCGAUCGAGGACAACGUGUCGGCCGAUUCCGGCGUCAGUUUGACGCCCAGUACCAACGAAACUCAGCCGCCGCCAAGCGAGCCAGCGAGUGAACAGCCGCCGCCGCCGCCGCCGCAGCAGCAGCAAUCUCAGCCAACCAACUUGGAGGCGGCCCAAGCCGAAGCCUCUAAGAAACCAGGUGAGAGCGGGACGACGACUCCGGGUAGCGGUUCAACGGCGGCCUCACCGGCGCCACAGCGACGCCUUCAAAGAGUCGAAAUUCUGAAAAUAGCCGAAGGAACGCCGUUAAUCGAUCCCACUGAGGUGGUAGUCUCUCAAGGAGCCGUUCUCAUCGCCGAACCUGUCCUCACUCCAUUAGAAAAGCUGCGGAGAAAAGAUCAGAUGAUCCGAGCUGCUCUGGCGGACAAACAAAGACUCGUGGCCGACAUUCUGCACGUUCCGCACUCUGAGCUGGAUCCAGCAUCAUCCGAGUUGCUGAGCGAAUCGGAAGGCGAGAAAGAAGCUCGAUUGCUAGUCAUGACGGCCAUAGCUCAAGCCACCCAACUCUCAGCUGUACUGAACGACAGUUUGCACGUCACCGAAGAGGAAGCCAUUGCUGCUGUCUCGGCGGAUCCCACGCCAGUCACAUCAUCACCAUCAUCGCCACGCUCAGCUCGACGGAUCAAUCGAAUGCCGGGCGCUGCAACUACCAAAUUGCUCGCCAUCACGUCCGCUCUCAAUAAGGACCUGACACAGCUCCUGGGUAUCGUCACGAAUCGAGACGAGGAACGCGAUCAGUUGCGCCGUGAAUUACAGAAGACACGCGAUCAGUUGGCUGAACAGUUGGUACUGCAAGUCGUAUCCCAUCCUACGUCCACUUCACGUCCGGUCAGCCACGUUUCCUUAUCGGACUGUGAGGCGACGAUAGAAUCCGAACAGUCAGAGGGCGCCCCUGCGUCUCCGGAAGUCGACAUCCAAGUACCCAGUGGAUGCGAAGGAGAAUCAAAUGAUGGGAACGAGUCACUAGUCGACAAAUCGAUAGUUCCAGUUGAAGCUGAAACGACGUCGCCAGUCACUUCGCCUUUUGACGAGGUUGACAGCGCAAUAAACUCGAACCAGACUUUGAGCGAGGAAGUAGUCGAAAGGAUCGACAUUGGCGAGAAAACAGAAUUGGAAGUUUCCCAGAGUAGUGAAGCUUGAAAAACAUCAUUAUUUUUUCAACAGCUACCAAGAAAAUAAUAAGAAUUUAUCUUCCCAAGUACAUUGUUUUAAGUGGCAUGAAAAAAGCAAAAAAAAAAAAAAAAAAAAAAAAAAAGAAGCAAAAAAAACGAAAUAUUCACUUCCAUCUUCUUUCGAUGACCUCAUUCCGCCAUUGAGCGACCUUUGUACAUAUGACGCCAAGAUUCGCUUAAAGUGCAAAAAUUUCAAAAACAAUAAGAGCAUGGAUUUUUUUUUCCUCCCCCACACACCCCAUACCCUACCCUCCCAGUUGUGAAGAUGUAUUGAAAGAAACGAAAAAUCAAUAAUUAACACGGUGGACGAUUGUUUAACGUGCCAAUCAAGACAUGGAGUCAGUCGGAUCCUGGCGCUAAGGCCGAUCUCUAUUGCAUUCUUUUUUUUCUGUUUUGUUUUAUUUUGUUCCUUAUUUUUCAAAGCUUUCUUCGGCGACUAGCGAACCUCUGGACUCGAAGAAUUUUUCCCCCUCUUUUUUUCCCUGUACAUCUCUCGAUUCGAUGCAGUCGAUUGGUUCAUAACAAAUAUACGCGGAGAAGGCAGAAAAAGUUUGUUGUAUCAAAAGACGUGUAGGAGAGAGAUUGAGAGGAACAAAACAAGAGAAUUAUGGCAAGCAACCCUAUAUUCGUCUCAAUGGAAAUAUUUUUAGAAAGUAGAUUCAAAUUGCGAAAGUGGCGCUAGAGACUUAACUUACUUGAUGUAACAACGAGAGAGAUUUGAAAUGCAUAGGAUCAAAUUUAUUUUUCGCGCGAUGGCUCUUUUUUUUUUUGAAAUUUGACUUCCCUUCUUGAUUUUAUAAUUAAAAAAAUAAGAACGUCUUCACUUGUCCCUCCUUCCUGCCAAUUUUGUCUGUGCUCUUGAUUUCCCCCAUCUCUGUCCAAAAUAUCACCCGUUUUGUUUUGUUGUACCGCAGAACUCUUUAAUUAUUAAGGAAACUCCUUUAGGUUUUCUCACCAUUCAUGCAAUACACUUGAAAUAUAUUGA